rnacentral:rRNA from 1 species
AUACGGAGGGUGCGAGCGUUAAUCGGAAUUACUGGGCGUAAAGCGUGCGUAGGCGGUUGAUUUAGUCAGAUGUGAAAGCCCCGGGCUCAACCUGGGAACUGCAUUUGAAACUGGUCAACUGGAGUAUGGUAGAGGGGGGUAGAAUUUCUGGUGUAGCGGUGAAAUGCGUAGAUAUCAGAAGGAGUACCGAUGGCGAAGGCAGCCCCCUGGACCAAUACUGACGCUGAGGUACGAAAGCGUGGGGAGCAAACAGGAUUAGAAACCCGGGUAGUCC